CCCCGCCUCGCCCCGCGGGGGGUUCUGGGAGGAGAAGUCGCGGCUCUCAGGGCGCUGGGCCGGAUUCCAGAACCCACGGAGCCGUGAGAUGCUGCUUAUAGGUACAGGAUGUGGAGAAGACUUCAUUGAUUCACUUUUCAGGAUUUUAUUCUCCAAACGGGAGCAUUGAAGAAGGAAGGAGGAAUGGCUGUUGGACUUUGUAAAGUCGCGUCCCAGGG